UAAGGAUACAGGCAGGGAACAGCAUGAAUACUCAGAGGAAAGUGCCCUAAGGGUGGGGUGGAAUAAUGGAUAGAAGGAAGUUUAGCUUGACUGCGGGCUACAAGAAGGGCCUCCAUGUAGGCUGCAUAGGUUGGGACUGCGGGGUGAGUGGUGGCCCAGCGUUGUGCGGUUCAUCAUAUGUGUAAACCCUAGGCAGUGGCCAACAGAAGAUGACGAGGUGGUGACAUGGCAACCAUGGGAAGGCUGAGGUUCGUGGCUGGGGAGUCAAAGCAGGGAAGGCCUUGAAUGUGAGCCUGAGAAACUUUCUCUGUUCCACCAAAGAUGCCCAGGCCAAACUCCUUGCCCCCGCGGAUGUUGAAGCCCAGACAGAAGUCGUCCGACGUGGUGUACAGGUGGACAAUGCGGCGCACGCCAUCCUCCGAGCCGCUGUCUGACGGCGUCGAGCUGCACUUCUCCACCACCAGCCGCCGAUUCACCACGUCCACCCUGGGACAGCAGCAAGCAGCCAUCAGUCUGGGCUCCCCCAGGCCGCCACCAGGCACCCCCUCUCUUCCCAGCAUCCCCGACGACUGCACAGGACUCCAGAACCCCAGUGAGGUGGGGACUCAUACCCUCAGCCAGCACCUCCCUCCAGGGGGCCCUGCUCACCUGCACUGCUCCCCUCCUCCACCUUGCUGACGAAGAUGCCCAGGCCGUGCUCAGAGCCGC